rnacentral:rRNA from 1 species
UGGGGAAUCUUGGACAAUGGGGGCAACCCUGAUCCAGCCAUGCCGCGUGAGUGAUGAAGGCCUUAGGGUCGUAAAGCUCUUUCGCCUGUGAAGAUAAUGACGGUAGCAGGUAAAGAAACCCCGGCUAACUCCGUGCCAGCAGCCGCGGUAAUACGGAGGGGGUUAGCGUUGUUCGGAAUUACUGGGCGUAAAGCGCACGUAGGCGGAUCGGAAAGUUGGGGGUGAAAUCCCGGGGCUCAACCCCGGAACUGCCUCCAAAACUAUCGGUCUAGAGUUCGAGAGAGGUGAGUGGAAUUCCAAGUGUAGAGGUGAAAUUCGUAGAUAUUUGGAGGAACACCAGUGGCGAAGGCGGCUCACUGGCUCGAUACUGACGCUGAGGUGCGAAAGUGUGGGGAGCAAACAGGAUUAGAUACCCCCGUAGUCC